UGGAGAGAAUUUAAUUUUUAAUUUACAGAUUAUUCGAGAUUCUCCUUCGUACCAUAAAAGAUGCAGACAUUUUUAACGCAAUUGAAAAAAUUAUUGGCUCAUUGUAGGAUAUUAUAACAAAUUUGUUUUAAAGUCUGUGUUGGGAGCUGUAAAAGACAAAGAUAUAUAUGCGGGUCAGUCUUUUCUCUAUAGGGACGCACACUUGCAAAGCGAAGAGUGCAGGUGCUUAGGGCAUUCACCUUCGUUCAAGUGAGCAAAGAGAGUUCAAGGUCAUCGAAACACGUGGUAAAUCACUACAGCAGGAAUGUUCGCAUCAAAGUAAAAAAAAACAUACAAUAAGUAUAUAAAAAAAACAUUAAAUUAAUAUAUUAAAUAUAAUAAAAUUAAUUUAGUAAAAUAUAAAUUAAUUUAAAAUUGGGAUUUAAUUUAAAAAAAUGGAAAAUUUAAAUACUUAUACCCUAAAUAUCUCUAAUCAUAUAAUUUUAAAAUUUGAACAAUAUAUACAUGUGUAAUUACGAAUAUAUAAAUUCACAUUUUCGAACGUAAUCGUAAAUAUAUAUAUGUUCAGAAAAUUUUUAAUUAAUUCGAUUAAACGCCUAACUCGCGCGAAAUCACACUUAACGGUAUUUAAAAUCGUACGGUCACUAGAUACUUAUUCGAUCUUUAAAAGUGUAUUUUCAAAUACACUUUUAAAGAUAUUUGAAUUUAUACAGCUGUUUCCUUGAUUAUAAUAUUAACCAUUUAAAUGGAUAGUUUGACAAUUGAUCGUAAAUAAAUCAAGAUCUACUAUCUUAAUCUACUCACGUUUAAUUAGUCACCGUUUCGUUUAGAAUGUUCUUACGACAGCAACGCGACUCGAAUACUUGAGAGCCUCUGUCUACGAACCAUGACCUUUAGACAAAUUAAUCAGCGUCCUUGAGAUUGAUUUCUUUCUCAGAUCAUGAAAGAUUGUUCGCUCUCGAAGAGAGUUACUAUCAUUUUAAUUUAGAAUAAAGCUGACGCAUUGCUCCUGGUAUUCUUUAUCGUCUCGGCGGAUUUUUAAUUACGAUAUGUGUAAUUCACUUUUGUUACGAGACCGAGAGACUUAAAAACGGAAUGAAGAGAUCGUUACCUCGGCCCAGGACCAAGUACUAGACAAUUCAGUGAUAAGAAGGCGAUUGAUUUCGAUCCGAAGUGAUCCAAAGAACUCUCCGAGUCACUUUCGCGCGACGACUGACACCGACUAGCGACUCUGCCUUGAAUAGUAGCCGUAGAGGAGCGAAGGACUUUAGUAUAUCGUGGGACGCGCGAGACAUCCCCUCCUCCGUGAUGCCAUACCGGCACGCACACUAUGCCCUUCCUGCCAGCCUUGUCUCGCUCCACUCCAGCGCCAGCCACCCGUUCUACGAUUCUCAUCUAAAGAGUUCCUCCUUUCACAUCGCACACGAACAAGAUAACGAGAAGCGGGACGAAUCUCGUCAUCGUCUCGCACCAACUGUAUUCGACGCUUACAACACAACCGCUGCUGGAUUAGUAAAAGCGCGUUGCUCAUCUUCGGCGCCUUGAUUGAGCAACAGCUCAGCCUUUGGCCGCAAGAACCUGUUUUGAGGCGA